rnacentral:tRNA from 1 species
GCCUGGGUGGCUCAGUUGGUUGAGCAUCUGACUCUCAAUUUCAGUUCAAGUCAUGAUCUCAAGGUGUGGGAUGGAGCCCCACAUCAGGCU